AGGGAAGUGGGUUGUUAUCUUUGGUUAUCUAGCUGUAUGAGUGUGUUGGUCUUCAUAAAGCUAGAUAACCGAAAGUAAAAACUGCUUCCAGGAUCGUCGUGGACGCUUGGAGGAUGUAAAG
rnacentral:miRNA from 1 species